UCCGUUUGAUCCUGGCGGAGGCCACUGCUAUCGGAGUUCGAUUAAGCCAUGCGAGUCGAGAGGUGAAAGACCUCGGCAUACUGCUCAGUAACACGUGGACAAUCUAACCUACGGAGGGGGAUAACCCCGGGAAACUGGGGAUAAUACCCCAUAGACUAUGGAUGCUGGAAUGCUUUGUAGUCGAAAGGUCCGCCGCCGUAGGAUGGGUCUGCGGCCGAUUAGGUUGUUGUUGGGGUAACGGCCCAACAAGCCUGUAAUCGGUACGGGUUGUGGGAGCAAGAGCCCGGAGAUGGAUUCUGAGACACGAAUCCAGGCCCUACGGGGCGCAGCAGGCGCGAAAACUUUACAAUGCGGGAAACCGUGAUAGGGGAACUCCGAGUGCCCGUUAAAUCGGGCUGUCCACCAGUUUAAAUAACUGGUGAAGAAAGGGCCGGGCAAGACCGGUGCCAGCCGCCGCGGUAAUACCGGCGGCUCGAGUGGUGGCCACUAUUACUGGGCUUAAAGCGUUCGUAGCUGGUUUGUUAAGUCUCUGGGGAAAUCUUCCGGCUUAACCGGAAGGCGUCUCAGGGAUACUGGCAGACUAGGGACCGGGAGAGGUGAGGGGUACUCCAGGGGUAGGAGUGAAAUCCUGUAAUCCUUGGGGGACCACCUGUGGCGAAGGCGCCUCACCAGAACGGCUCCGACAGUGAGGGACGAAAGCUGGGGGAGCAAACCGGAUUAGAUACCCGGGUAGUCCCAGCUGUAAACGAUGCGCGUUAGGUGUAUCGGUGACCACGAGUCACCGAGGUGCCGAAGAGAAAUCGUGAAACGUGCCGCCUGGGAAGUACGGUCGCAAGGCUGAAACUUAAAGGAAUUGGCGGGGGAGCACCACAACGGGUGGAGCCUGCGGUUUAAUCGGACUCAACGCCGGGAAACUCACCAGUUAAGACAGCUGAAUGAUAGUCGGGCUGAAGACUCUACUUGACUAGCUGAGAGGAGGUGCAUGGCCGUCGUCAGUUCGUACUGUGAAGCAUCCUGUUAAGUCAGGCAACGAGCGAGACCCA
rnacentral:rRNA from 1 species